rnacentral:rRNA from 1 species
AGAGUUUGAUCCUGGCUCAGGAUGAACGCUGGCGGUAUGCUUAACACAUGCAAGUCGAACGGAACUCUUCGGAGUUUAGUGGCGGACGGGUGAGUAACGCGUGAGGAUCUAGCUUCAGGACGGGGAUAACAUUGGGAAACUGAUGCUAAUACCCGAUAUGGCGAGAGCUGAAAGAUUAAUUGCCUGAAGAUGAGCUCGCGUCCGAUUAGCUAGUUGGAGUGGUAAUGGCACCCCAAGGCGACGAUCGGUAGCUGGUCUGAGAGGAUGAUCAGCCACACUGGGACUGAGACACGGCCCAGACUCCUACGGGAGGCAGCAGUGGGGAAUUUUCCGCAAUGGGCGAAAGCCUGACGGAGCAAUACCGCGCGGGAGGACGGCCUUUGGGUUGUAAACCGCUUUUCUCAGGGAAGAAGAUCUGACGGUACCUGAGGAAUCAGCAUCGGCUAACUCCGUGCCAGCAGCCGCGGUAAUAUGGAGGAUGCAAGCGUUAUCCGGAAUUAUAGGGCGUAAAGCGUCCGCAGGUGGUUUGUCAAGUCUGCUGUCAAAGCGUGGAGCUUAACUCCAUAAGGGCGGUGGAAACUGAUUAACUAGAGGAUGGUAGGGGUCACGGGAAUUCCCAGUGUAGCGGUGAAAUGCGUAGAUAAUGGGAAGAACACCAGCGGCGAAAGCGCGUGACUGGGCCAUUACUGACACUCAUGGACGAAAGCUAGGGGAGCGAAAGGGAUUAGAUACCCCUGUAGUCCUAGCUGUAAACGAUGGACACUAGGUGUUGCCCGUAUCGACCCGGGCAGUGCCGUAGCCAACGCGUUAAGUGUCCCGCCUGGGGAGUACGCACGCAAGUGUGAAACUCAAAGGAAUUGACGGGGGCCCGCACAAGCGGUGGAGUAUGCGGUUUAAUUCGAUGCAACGCGGAGAACCUUACCAGGGCUUGACAUCCUCCGAAUUCUUGGGAAACUGAGAAGUGCCUUCGGGAGCGGAGAGACAGGUGGUGCAUGGCUGUCGUCAGCCCGUGUCGUGAGAUGUUGGGUUAAGUCCCGCAACGAGCGCAACCCACGUUUUUAGUUGCCAGCAUUCAGUUGGGCACUCUAGAGAGACUGCCGGUGACAAACCGGAGGAAGGUGUGGAUGACGUCAAGUCAGCAUGCCCCUUACGUCCUGGGCUACACACGUACUACAAUGCUUCGGACAGAGGGUUGCCAACCCGCGAGGGUGCGCUAAUCCCGUAAACCGAGGCUCAGUUCAGAUUGCAGGCUGCAACUCGCCUGCAUGAAGGCGGAAUCGCUAGUAAUCGCCGGUCAGCAUACGGCGGUGAAUACGUUCCCGGGCCUUGUACACACCGCCCGUCACACCAUGGGAG